UACGUAGGGUGCGAGCGUUGUCCGGAAUUAUUGGGCGUAAAGAGCUCGUAGGUGGUCUGUCACGUCGGAUGUGAAAACUCGGGGCUCAACCCCGAGCCUGCAUUCGAUACGGGCAGACUAGAGUUCGGUAGGGGAGACUGGAAUUCCUGGUGUAGCGGUGAAAUGCGCAGAUAUCAGGAGGAACACCGGUGGCGAAGGCGGCAUCCUGGACCGACACUGACGCUGAGGAGCGAAAGCCAGGGAGCAAACGGG
rnacentral:rRNA from 1 species